UUACGGCCAUAUCACUUUGAAACGCCAGUUCUCGUACGAUCACCGAAGUUAAGUAACGUUGAGCCUGCUCAGUACCUACAUGGGGGACAGAUUUGGAAUACCAAGUGCUGUAAG